rnacentral:rRNA from 1 species
CCUACGGGUGGCAGCAGUGGGGAAUAUUGCGCAAUGGGCGAAAGCCUGACGCAGCGACGCCGCGUGAGGGAUGAAGGUCUUCGGAUCGUAAACCUCUGUCAGCAGGGAAGAAAGGUCACUGUGCUAAUCAGCAGUGACUUGACGGUACCUGCAAAGGAAGCACCGGCUAACUACGUGCCAGCAGCCGCGGUAAUACGGAUGGUGCGAGCGUUAAUCGGAAUUACUGGGCGUAAAGCGCUCGUAGGCGGUAUGUCAAGUCAAGGGUGAAAUCCCCGCGCUCAACGUGGGAACUGCCUUUGAAACUGGCAAACUGGAGUGUGUGAGAGGAUAGUGGAAUUCCAGGUGUAGGAGUGAAAUCCGUAGAUAUCUGGAGGAACAUCAGUGGCGAAGGCGACUAUCUGGCACAUAACUGACGCUGAGGAGCGAAAGCGUGGGUAGCGAACAGGAUUAGAUACCCCAGUAGUC